rnacentral:rRNA from 1 species
CCUACGGGUGGCAGCAGUCGAGAAUCAUUCACAAUGGGGGAAACCCUGAUGGUGCGACGCCGCGUGGGGGAAUGAAGGUCUUCGGAUUGUAAACCCCUUUCAUGUGGGAGCAAAUUAAAAAUAUAGUACCACAAGAGGAAGAGACGGCUAACUCUGUGCCAGCAGCCGCGGUAAUACAGAGGUCUCAAGCGUUGUUCGGAAUCACUGGGCGUAAAGCGUGCGUAGGCUGUUUCGUAAGUCGUGUGUGAAAGGCGGAGGCUCAACCCGCGGACGGCACAUGAUACUGCGAGACUAGAGUAAUGGAGGGGGAACCGGAAUUCUCGGUGUAGCAGUGAAAUGCGUAGAUAUCGGGAGGAACACUCGUGGCGAAGGCGGGUUCCUGGACAUUAACUGACGCUGAGGCACGAAGGCCAGGGGAGCGAAAGGGAUUAGAUACCCGUGUAGUC